UUUCGAGGAAGUUUUUUCACGUCAUUCGAUAUUCCAACGUACCGUUACACGGUAUAUUGAUACACGACACAACGUAACACGAACGAAUUAACUCUCAAAAAGUUUUUGCUUCGUUGCUGCAAUCAAGCGGAAGAUUUGAAAAAUCAUCGAUUCCUGUCAGGAUCGUGCGUGGUUUUCGCCGAAUUUUUUUGUCGGGGAACGUUUCGACUUUUUAAACGGGGCGAGAAAAAUGUGUAUGUGAGCGACCAAAGGAGAGAGACGGAUCGAUAGUCGGUCCAUCUCCACAUACCGGCCAUAUUACGAAUAGUAAUAUUGUAACAGUGCGUAGGUAAAAAAAAUAAAAAUAAAAAUAAAAAUAAAAAUGAAAAAUAGGACAACAAGGUGAGAAAAAGAAAAUAUCACAGGACCUGGGAAAUAGAGUCUCUCGAACCGACGGGGAAAGACAGGGGGGAAAAAAGGUGUUUUGCAGUAAAUGCGUAUUGGUCGGUUGCACGUGCACUCGACGCGUCAAUGCGGCAAACGAAAGCUUGGGCGAAGGGUGAGGGCGAGGGGCCGCUGAACGACGUCUGCAUAGAACCCCUUGAUUCUAUUCCCAAGUUAGGAGGAAAGAAAAUAUUUAGAUGACCUAUUUCACGUGGACCAUCCCUUGCGUUAACCCCAGAAGUACUGGAGGUUUCAAUGUCCUUUCAUAGAAUCGGUCGAUAUCUUCUUAAAUAAAAAUAAUGCGCGUACACGUUCGUUGGAUAAAGGAAUAUAGUGCGAUUAG